CAGUAGCCACGGGAAUACGUAGGUGGCAAGCGUUGUCCGGAAUUAUUGGGCGUAAAGGGCUCGCAGGCGGUUUCUUAAGUCUGAUGUGAAAGCCCCCGGCUCAACCGGGGAGGGUCAUUGGAAACUGGGAAACUUGAGUGCAGAAGAGGAGAGUGGAAUUCCACGUGUAGCGGUGAAAUGCGUAGAGAUGUGGAGGAACACCAGUGGCGAAGGCAACUCUCUGGUCUGUAACUGACGCUGAGGAGCGAAAACGUGGGGAGCGAACAGGAUUAGAUACCCCUGUAGUCCCUGUCUCUUAUAC
rnacentral:rRNA from 1 species